AGAGUUUGAUCCUGGCUCAGGACGAACGCUGGCGGCGUGCUUAACACAUGCAAGUCGAACGGAAAGGCCCUUCGGGGUACUCGAGUGGCGAACGGGUGAGUAACACGUGGGUGAUCUGCCCUGCACUCUGGGAUAAGCCUGGGAAACUGGGUCUAAUACCGGAUAGGACCACACACUUCAUGGUGAGUGGUGCAAAGCUUUUGCGGUGUGGGAUGAGCCCGCGGCCUAUCAGCUUGUUGGUGGGGUAAUGGCCCACCAAGGCGACGACGGGUAGCCGGCCUGAGAGGGUGACCGGCCACACUGGGACUGAGAUACGGCCCAGACUCCUACGGGAGGCAGCAGUGGGGAAUAUUGCACAAUGGGCGCAAGCCUGAUGCAGCGACGCCGCGUGAGGGAUGACGGCCUUCGGGUUGUAAACCUCUUUCAGUAGGGACGAAGCGAAAGUGACGGUACCUACAGAAGAAGGACCGGCCAACUACGUGCCAGCAGCCGCGGUAAUACGUAGGGUCCGAGCGUUGUCCGGAAUUACUGGGCGUAAAGAGCUCGUAGGUGGUUUGUCGCGUUGUUCGUGAAAACUCACAGCUUAACUGUGGGCGUGCGGGCGAUACGGGCAGACUAGAGUACUGCAGGGGAGACUGGAAUUCCUGGUGUAGCGGUGGAAUGCGCAGAUAUCAGGAGGAACACCGGUGGCGAAGGCGGGUCUCUGGGCAGUAACUGACGCUGAGGAGCGAAAGCGUGGGUAGCGAACAGGAUUAGAUACCCUGGUAGUCCAA
rnacentral:rRNA from 1 species